GAUGAACGCUGGCGGCGUGCCUAAUACAUGCAAGUCGAGCGAAUGGAUUGAGAGCUUGCUCUUAUGAAGUUAGCGGCGGACGGGUGAGUAACACGUGGGUAACCUGCCCAUAAGACUGGGAUAACUCCGGGAAACCGGGGCUAAUACCGGAUAACAUUUUGAACCGCAUGGUUCGAAAUUGAAAGGCGGCUUCGGCUGUCACUUAUGGAUGGACCCGCGUCGCAUUAGCCAGUUGGUGAGGUAACGGCUCACCAAGGCAACGAUGCGUAGCCGCCCUGAGAGGGUGGUCGGCCACACUGGGACUGAGACACGGCCCAGCCUCCUACGGGAGGUAGCAGUAGGGAAUCUUCCGCAAUGGACGAAAGUCUGACGGAGCAACGCCGCGUGAGUGAUGAAGGCUUUCGGGUCGUAAAACUCUGUUGUUAGGGAAGAACAAGUGCUAGUUGAAUAAGCUGGCACCUUGACGGUACCUAACCAGAAAGCCACGGCUAACUACGUGCCAGCAGCCGCCGUAA
rnacentral:rRNA from 1 species